rnacentral:tRNA from 1 species
GGAAGGGUGCGAGAGUGGUUUAAUCGAUCAGUUUACUAAACUGACGUCCCGCUCAGCGGGACCGUGGGUUCAAAUCCCACCCCUUCCG